rnacentral:rRNA from 1 species
AAACAUCUAAGUACCCCGAGGAAAAGAAAUCAACCGAGAUUCCCCCAGUAGCGGCGAGCGAACGGGGAGCAGCCCAGAGUCUGAAUCAGCUUGUGUGUUAGUGGAAGCGUCUGGAAAGUCGCACGGUACAGGGUGACAGUCCCGUACACGAAAGCACACAGGUUGUGAACUCGAAGAGUAGGGCGGGACACGUGGUAUCCUGUCUGAAUAUGGGGGGACCAUCCUCCAAGGCUAAAUACUCCUGACUGACCGAUAGUGAACCAGUACCGUGAGGGAAAGGCGAAAAGAACCCCGGCGAGGGGAGUGAAAAAGAACCUGAAACCGUGUACGUACAAGCAGUGGGAGCACCUUCGUGGUGUGACUGCGUACCUUUUGUAUAAUGGGUCAGCGACUUAUAUUCUGUAGCAAGGUUAACCGUAUAGGGGAGCCGAAGGGAAACCGAGUCUUAACUGGGCGUUAAGUUGCAGGGUAUAGACCCGAAACCCGGUGAUCUAGCCAUGGGCAGGUUGAAGGUUGGGUAACACUAACUGGAGGACCGAACCGACUAAUGUUGAAAAAUUAGCGGAUGACUUGUGGCUGGGGGUGAAAGGCCAAUCAAACCGGGAGAUAGCUGGUUCUCCCCGAAAGCUAUUUAGGUAGCGCCUCGUGAACUCAUCUUCGGGGGUAGAGCACUGUUUCGGCUAGGGGGCCAUCCCGGCUUACCAACCCGAUGCAAACUACGAAUACCGAAGAAUGUUAUCACGGGAGACACACGGCGGGUGCUAACGUCCGUCGUGAAGAGGGAAACAACCCAGACCGCCAGCUAAGGUCCCAAAGUCAUGGUUAAGUGGGAAACGAUGUGGGAAGGCACAGACAGCCAGGAUGUUGGCUUAGAAGCAGCCAUCAUUUAAAGAAAGCGUAAUAGCUCACUGGUCGAGUCGGCCUGCGCGGAAGAUGUAACGGGGCUAAACCAUG